AACGAACGCUGGCGGCACGCCUAAUACAUGCAAGUCGAGCGCUUGACUUCGGUCAGGAGCGGCGGACGGGUGAGUAACGCGUGGGAACAUACCCUUUUCUACGGAAUAGCCUCGGGAAACUGAGAGUAAUACCGUAUACGCCCUUCGGGGGAAAGAUUUAUCGGAGAAGGAUUGGCCCGCGUUAGAUUAGAUAGUUGGUGGGGUAACGGCCUACCAAGUCUACGAUCUAUAGCUGGUUUGAGAGGAUGAUCAGCCACACUGGGACUGAGACACGGCCCAGACUCCUACGGGAGGCAGCAGUAGGGAAUCUUAGACAAUGGGGGAAACCCUGAUCUAGCGAUGCCGCGUGUGUGAUGAAGGCCCUAGGGUCGUAAAGCACUUUCGCCAAGGAUGAUAAUGACAGUACUUGGUAAAGAAACCCCGGCUAACUCCG
rnacentral:rRNA from 1 species